AGCACCUGGCGGUAAAACUGAUGCACAAACAGCGCAGCGUCAAAGUGGAAAUGAGAACGCUCUCUAUAUCGGCAUCGGCGUGUUUCUCGGUCUGCUGGUGGUGGCGGUGAUCAUUGCAAGUGUCGUGUUACUCAGGUUUAAGCCGUGGAGAAGGUUCUACUUCAAACACAAUGACAGUAAUGACGUGGACGCCAUAAUCAGCUACGAUAACAAUGCAUACGGUGACGUCACUAUCAAAGGAACCGGUGUGGAUCGAAUAGAUAAUGCUCUUCCGGCGCAAGAUGACCCAGUGUACGCUGUUGGGGGAGAAGAGAAUCACGACAGUCAGCCAGGUGCUAUAGAGGUGAUUUACGACAGCCAUCAAGCAGUCUUUGGUACAAAUGAAGUGUUUCACUUUGGGUCGAAAAACGACUCAGACGCAGAGGCGUAGAUGCUGCUCAGACUUGGACAGUGUAUACACCGCACACUACCAAGCCGGGGAAAGUUUUUUUACCACUCCAACCGUUCUCAUCAAAAUUAAUUAAAUUUGAUGCCGGAAUCUCUUUGAUUUUUCAGAAAAUCGGAGCAAACCGGUUUGCAAACAUUAUUUAUAAAUUUCUAAGUGAAAACGGAAAGUAUGAAGUCUAUAAUCCAUGAACAGUUUUUUUUAGGUUAAAUGUGAUUAUACAUAAGUA